UGCUUUGUUAAUAUGGUGAAGACAUAUUGGUGGACAUAGACGUUUCUGAGAAAAUAUUGAUACAAUAAUUUUAUUUUUGUCGGUCUUUAUGAUACAAUAUUUCUCAACUUUGAUAGUUCUUUUUGGAAUGGUCAGAGAUGAGUGGUUGGAGCAGCUGUUGCAAAACAAUCUAUCCUCUCGCUGUUUUUUUUUACUUCGUCUACUUCUUCUCUGUUCCAUGUGUAUUUUAGUUGUGCAGGUUGUCGUAAUUGUCGGUGAAAAUGUGUAUAGGGAACGGGUGAUGGAAACAUUUGAGAAGGAUCUUCAUUUACCGGUUGUUUGUGUUGAUGCUGUAAAUUCAACCGGUUGUCUGGAUAUUGUCAAGACAGCAGGCUAUCAGGAAUAAAUUUAAGUCGACUCCAGAUAAACAAGAAGCACCAAGUAUUAGAGAGGGUUCCUCGUGCUGAAUUGGACGAUGCCGAACACUGGAGGGCAGUUACCUUUGGGCGGCAUGGUAGACGAUCCGGUUGAUCGUAACUAAUACAGGAAAAGGUUUGCAGAGUUUUUGAAUGGUGAGACUUGCUUCUUUUUUCUAAAACAGUGGCUGGAGCUAUUUACUUCAGAAUUAGAGGACUGUCUUGCGAAGCCAAAAAUAUCGACAGGGCUUCAAAGCGAAGUUGUUAUGUCUAAUGUAGCGCAGAUGGAAUGCAAUUAGUGAAUCGUUUCCAACACUCCCGGCUGCAGUUUUCUGUCUAAGGUCUAUCAUUCUCUUUCUACAAGCAGAGAAUGGUAGUUCACUCCUACAAUA